rnacentral:rRNA from 1 species
GACGAACGCUGGCGGCGUGCUUAACACAUGCAAGUCGAACGGAAAGGCCCUGCUUGUGUGGGGUGCUCGAGUGGCGAACGGGUGAGUAACACGUGAGUAACCUGCCCUUUACUGUGGGAUAACUUCAGGAAACUGGGGCUAAUACCGGAGAGGAGCUCCUGCUGCAUGGUGGGGGUUGGAAAGUUUCGGCGGUUGGGGAUGGACUCGCGGCUUAUCAGCUUGUUGGUUGGGUAGUGGCUUACCAAGGCUUUGACGGGUAGCCGGCCUGAGCGGGUGACCGGCCACAUUGCGACUGAGAUACGGCCCAGACUCCUACGGGAGGCAGCAGUGGGGAAUAUUGCACAAUGGGCGGAAGCCUGAUGCAGCAACGCCGCGUGCGGGAUGACGGCCUUCGGGUUGUAAACCGCUUUCGCCUGUGACGAAGCGUGAGUGACGGUAAUGGGUAAAGAAGCACCGGCUAACUACGUG